GAUGAACGCUGGCGGCGUGCUUAACACAUGCAAGUCGAACGAACCUUCGGGUUAGUGGCGGACGGGUGAGUAACGCGUGAGAAUCUGCCCUCAGGAGGGGGACAACAGCUGGAAACGGCUGCUAAUACCCCAUAUGCCGCGAGGUGAAAUGAAUUUCGCCUGAGGAUGAGCUCGCGUCUGAUUAGCUAGUUGGUGAGGUAAUGGCUCACCAAGGCAUCGAUCAGUAGCUGGUCUGAGAGGAUGAUCAGCCACACUGGGACUGAGACACGGCCCAGACUCCUACGGGAGGCAGCAGUGGGGAAUUUUCCGCAAUGGGCGAAAGCCUGACGGAGCAACGCCGCGUGAGGGAUGAAGGCCUCUGGGCUGUAAACCUCUUUUAUCAAGGAAGAAGAUCUGACGGUACUUGAUGAAUAAGCCACGGCUAAUUCCGUG
rnacentral:rRNA from 1 species